CCUACGGGAGGCAGCAGUGAGGAAUAUUGGUCAAUGGGAGAGAUCCUGAACCAGCCAAGCCGCGUGAGGGAAGACGGCCCUAUGGGUUGUAAACCUCUUUUGUCGGAGAACAAAACCCGGGACGUGUCCCGGACUGCGUGUAUCCGAAGAAAAAGCAUCGGCUAACUCCGUGCCAGCAGCCGCGGUAAUACGGAGGAUGCGAGCGUUAUCCGGAUUUAUUGGGUUUAAAGGGUGCGUAGGCGGUCCGUUAAGUCAGCGGUAAAAUGGCGGGGCUCAACCCCGUCGAGCCGUUGAAACUGGCAGACUUGAGUAUGCGAGAAGUACGCGGAAUGCGCGGUGUAGCGGUGAAAUGCAAAGAUAUCGCGCAGAACUCCGAUUGCGAAGGCAGCGUACCGGCGCCAGACUGACGCUGAGGCACGAAAGCGUGGGGAUCGAACAGGAUUAGAUACCCCUGUAGUC
rnacentral:rRNA from 1 species